GGUUGGAUGGCCGAGCGGUCCAAGGCGCUAGUUUAAGGCACUAGUCUCUUCGGAGGCGUGGGUUCGAAUCCCACUCCAAUCA
rnacentral:tRNA from 1 species